rnacentral:tRNA from 6 species
GCGCUGUAUUUUCAGUUUUGUAAUGCUGGCUACGAACCAGUAGGUCGGGGGUUCGAAUCCUCCCCGGUGCGCCA